GUACUUUCCUGGCUGGAGAGAGAGAGCGCGUGUAUCACGGUCACAUGACUGCUUUUCUCAGGGCCAGGCUCAUCCACUGUAUUCCUCGUGUGCUAAUCCUAGGAUUUCCCCAAACAUAGGUAUCUCAGCUGCUUCAUUUAUGGUAUGGGGCUA
ensembl:snRNA U1 U1 spliceosomal RNA